UACAGAGGUCCCAAGCGUUGUUCGGAAUUACUGGGCGUAAAGGGCUCGUAGGCGGCCAACUAAGUCAGACGUGAAAUCCCUCGGCUUAACCGGGGAACUGCGUCUGAUACUGGAUGGCUUGAGUUUGGGAGAGGGAUGCGGAAUUCCAGGUGUAGCGGUGAAAUGCGUAGAUAUCUGGAGGAACACCGGUGGCGAAGGCGGCAUCCUGGACCGGCAUUGACGCUGAGGCGCGAAAGCCAGGGGAGCAAACGGG
rnacentral:rRNA from 1 species